AACGAACGCUGGCGGCAUGCCUAACACAUGCAAGUCGAACGAGACCUUCGUGUCUAGUGGCCCACGGGUGCGUAACGCGUGGGAACCUGCCCUUAGGUUCGGAAUAACUCCCCGAAAGGGGUGCUAAUACCGGAUAAUUUCUUCGGACCAAAGAUUUAUCGCCUUUGGAUGGGCCCGCGUUGGAUUAGCUAGUUGGUAGGGUAAAAGCCUCCCAAGGCGACGAUCCAUAGCUGGUCUGAGAGGAUGAUCAGCCACACUGGGACUGAGACACGGCCCAGACUCCUACGGGAGGCAGCAGUGGGGAAUAUUGGAAAAUGGGCGAAAGCCUGAUCAAGCAAUGCCGCGUGAGUGAUGAAGGCCUUAGGGUUGUAAAGCUCUUUUACCCGGGAUGAUAAUGACAGUACCGGGAGAAUAAGCUCCGGCUAACUCCGUG
rnacentral:rRNA from 1 species